rnacentral:rRNA from 1 species
GACGAACGCUGGCGGCGUGCUUAACACAUGCAAGUCGAACGGUAAGGCCCUUCGGGGUGCACGGGUGGCGAACGGGUGAGUAACACGUGGGUGAUCUGCCCUGCACUUCGGGAUAAGCCUGGGAAACUGGGUCUAAUACCGGAUAGGACCACUGCCUGCAUGGGUGGUGGUGGAAAGCUUUUGCGGUGUGGGAUGGGCCCGCGGCCUAUCAGCUUGUUGGUGGGGUGAUGGCCUACCAAGGCGACGACGAGUAGCCGGCCUGAGAGGGUGACCGGCCACACUGGGACUGAGAUACGGCCCAGACUCCUACGGGAGGCAGCAGUGGGGAAUAUUGCACGAUGGGCGCAAGCCUGAUGCAGCGACGCCGCGUGAGGGAUGACGGUCUUCGGGUUGUAAACCUCUUUCAGCACCGACGAAGCGCAAGUGACGGUAGGUGCAGAAGAAGGACCGGCCAACUACGUGCCAGCAGCCGCCGUAA